rnacentral:piRNA from 1 species
UGNGAACUGGCUGACCACAAAAGUUAGAUGU